rnacentral:rRNA from 1 species
UCCAGACUCCUACGGGAGGCAGCAGUGGGGAAUAUUGCACAAUGGGGGAAACCCUGAUGCAGCAACGCCGCGUGAGUGAAGAAGUAUUUCGGUAUGUAAAGCUCUAUCAGCAGGGAAGAAGAUGACGGUACCUGAUUAAGAAGCCCCGGCUAACUACGUGCCAGCAGCCGCGGUAAUACGUAGGGGGCGAGCGUUAUCCGGAUUUACUGGGUGUAAAGGGAGCGCAGACGGCAGUGCAAGUCUGGAGUGAAAGCCCGGGGCCCAACCCCGGAACUGCUCUGGAAACUGUGUAACUUGAGUGCAGGGGAGGUAAGCGGAAUUCCUAGUGUAGCGGUGAAAUGCGUAGAUAUUAGGAGGAACACCAGUGGCGAAGGCGGCUUACUGGACUGUAACUGACGUUGAGGCUCGAAAGCGUGGGGAGCAAACAGGAUUAGAUACCCCAGUAU